UGGAAUAGGAUCAGGCAAUCAAGAGAUUUUUGGUGAGGAACAUCGUUGAACAAGCUGCUGUUAGAGAUGUUCAGGAAGCUUGUGUCUAUGAUGGAUACACUUUGCCUAAAUUGUACGCCAAGAUGCUUUACUGUGUGUCCUGUGCUAUUCAUUCUCAUGUGGUGAGAGUUCGUUCUAGAGAGAAGAGGAGGAACCGUGACCCACCUCAACGUUUCAAGCGU